CCACAGUAGUGCAUCUUUCAUUUUCAUUGUGUAUUGGAGAGACACAUCGGUGUUACUCCUGACAUCAUGGUGUGGGGAUCCAUAGGGUAUGACAUCAUGGUGUGGGGAUCCAUAGGGUAUGACAUCAUGGUGUGGGGAUCCAUAGGGUAUGACAUCAUAGUAUAGGGAGCCAUAGGGUAUGACAUCAUGGUGUGGGGAGCCAUAGGGUAUGACAUCAUAGUAUAGGGAGCCAUAGGGUAUGACAUCAUGGUGUGGGGAUCCAUAGGGUAUGACAUCAUGGUGUGGGGAGCCAUAGGGUAUGACAUCAUAGUAUAGGGAGCCAUAGGGUAUGACAUCAUGGUGUGGGGAGCCAUAGGGUAUGACAUCAUAGUAUAGGGAGCCAUAGGGUAUGACAUCAUGGUGUUGGGAGCCAUAGGGUAUGACAUCAUGGUGUGGGGAGCCAUAGGGUAUGACAUCAUAGUAUAGGGAGCCAUAGGGUAUGACAUCAUGGUGUGGGGAGCCAUAGGGUAUGACAUCAUAGUAUAGGGAGCCAUAGGGUAUGACAUCAUGGUGUGGGGAUCCAUAGGGUAUGACAUCAUGGUGUGGGGAUCCAUAGGGUAUGACAUCAUAGUAUAGGGAGCCAUAGGGUAUGACAUCAUGGUGUGGGGAUCCAUAGGGUAUGACAUCAUGGUGUGGGGAGCCAUAGGGUAUGACAUCAUAGUAUAGGGAGCCAUAGGGUAUGACAUCAUGGUGUGGGGAGCCAUAGGGUAUGACAUCAUAGUAUAGGGAGCCAUAGGGUAUGACAUCAUGGUGUUGGGAGCCAUAGGGUAUGACAUCAUGGUGUGGGGAGCCAUAGGGUAUGACAUCAUGGUGUGGGGAUCCAUAGGGUAUGACAUCAUGGUGUGGGGAGCCAUAGGAUAUGACUUCAGGUCACCUGUGAUAGUGAUUCAGGGGGGGCCUGACGGCACAGCGCUACGCCAGUGACAUUCUGCAUCCGUAUGUCUUACCCCUCCUGAGACACCACCCUGGUACAGUCUUUCAACAAGACAACACCUGUCCACACACAGCACAUGUGUCUAUGCAGUGCCUGCAUCAUGUUGAGGUCCUCCUGUAGCCAGCCAGGUCCCCUGAUCUUUCCCCAAUCGAACAUGUGCGGGAUCAGCAAGGAUAUCAACUCAGACCCAGUGCCAAUCUGGAGGAUCUCGAGGGCCAAUUACAACAUUUGUGGGUCGACUUGCCACAGGAAAGGAUACAAUGGCUGUACGGCUCACUUCCGCACCGUAUUGACGCAUGUAUCUAGGCCCUGGGGUUGGGGGUGGGGGUGCCACAACCUACUGACAUGGGACCAACAGUGUGCCCAUACUACCAACUUUGUUUGAUCUAAUAUUAUAAUCAUUGCGAUACAGUCACAUGACCUUUCACCACGUACAGAUGCAUUUCCACCAUUUUGUCUGGGUGCUUAAUUUUUUUUGUCACUGAGUGUACAAUUAAUGGGUAUUGAUUCCAGAGUCUUUAUUGGCCACGUGCAAUUGGUGCGUUAGAAUGCUUACUCAGUUAAAGAGAGACUAAGGACAGUGCAAAACAAUACAGGACAGUGUAAAACAAUACAGGACAGUGUAAAACAACACAACACAGUGUAAAACAAUACAGAACAAUGUAAAGCAAUGCAAGACAGUGUAAAACAAUAUGAGACGGCAGACGGCAAAAACCAAUAGCACACGACGCAAUGAACAGUGCAAAACUGGAUGAUAUGUGGUUAGACACUGAUGAAGUGCAGUGGCAGAUCUAAAAAGUGCAGGUGCCAUGAGUAUGGCUGUUAUGGGAAAUGCGGAUGCGGAAAAAUGAAUAGUUUGGGGAAAGAAGCUGUUUGAGUCUGGAAGAAUAGAAUAGAAUAGAAUAGAAUAGAAUAGAAUAGAAUGGAAUGGAAUAGAAUAGAAUAGAAUAGAAUAGAAUGGAAUAGAAUAGAAUAGAAUAGAAUAGAAUAGAAUAGAAUAGAAUAGAGUAGAAUGGAAUAGAAUAGAAUGGCUUUAUUGACAUUGCACAUAUAAUGAAUUCAGUGCUACUUCUGAUCGGUGUAAACUCAAACAACCACAGCAACACCAUACAAUAAAUAUAAAAGUUUUAAAAGUAAGUCAAAAAUACCAGCUUAAUGUGGAUGUGUGAGUAUGUAGAUUAUUAAUCUAAUCUAUGAAUGUAAUCUAAUUAUUGCUGUGUAUUAUAAAUAUUUAAACUGCAUAUAUAACAGGAUGCAGAUUUUACAUUUAUUUACAGUACACUCAUGUACGAUGCACCUUUUGCUUGUUUGAUAUCUUGGCCAAAGGCAUUUCUAUAGUCAUUAAGAAUUGGAGAGGGGUCACUUGGUGUGACCCGUCCAGCGGGACUGCUGUCUAUACCAGCUUCAUAAAAGACAAUAAUAUACAACAAAACUAAUAUUUUGUUUUACUGAU